AGGACAGAGGGAUGGAUAGAGGGAGGAAUGGAUGUAAGGAGGAAUGGAUGGAGGGAGGGAUGGAUGGAUGUAAGGAGAGGUGGGUGGAUGGAGGGAGGGAGGGAGGGAGGGAGGAAUAGAGGGAGGGAGGGAUGGAUGGAUGCAUGGAAGGAUGGAUGAAUGGAGGGAUGGACAGAUGGAUGGGGGUAUGGAUGGAUGGAUGGACAGACGGAUGGACGGACGGAGGGACGGCAGGAUGGAGAUACAGACGGCCACCCAUACAGCCGGUGCUGAGGACGCAGGCCGUGGUGUCCCCUGCACACACAGCGCUGCUCUGCCCCCCCUCCCAUCCCCCCCCCCCAGCUGACAGCAGCUCCUCGCUAAUUACCGCCCCUUUAAUCCAAUCAAGGCUCCCUCGACCCGCCGAGGCCGAGGCAGCCCUUAAUUACCUCAUCUUUCCUAUCGGCCUAACGAGGGGCAACGGGAAGGAAACACUUCUGGGAUCUCUGUCUGCUCCCAGAUGUCGUUUGGCUCCGCGUUGCUGACACUUGUUGUGCACGCACGGGGCCGUUUGCACGGGGCUGUUUGCACGGAGCACUUUGCACGGAGCACUUUGCACAGGGCUGUUUGCACGGGGUUGUUUGCAUGCAGCUGUUUGCACGGAGCUGUCGUUUAAAUGGAGCUGUUUGCACAGAGCAGCAUGCACAGGGCUGUUGCACGGAGCUGUUUGCACGGAUAGCAUGCACACAGCUGUUGCACGGAGCAGUUUGCACAGGGCCACUUACACAGGCCUGUUGCACGGGGCUGUUGCACAGGCAGCAUGCAUGGGGCUGCUGCACAAGGCUGCUGUUUGCACAGGGCUGUUGCACAGUGCUGCUGUUUGCACAGGGUCGUUUGCACAAGGCUGUUUGCUCAGGGCCAUUUGCACAAAGCUGCCCUUUGCACAAGGCUGUUUGAACAAGGCUGCACAGAGCCAUUUGCACAAGGUUGCUGUUUUUGCACAGGGCUGCCGUUUGCACAAAGCCAUUUGCACAAGGCUGUUUGCACAGGGCUGUUUGCACAGGGCUGCCGUUUGCACAAGGCCGUUUGCACAAGGCUGCCGUUUGCACAACACCAUUUUGCACAAGGCUGCCUUUUGCAUGAGGCUGUUUGCACAGAGCCAUUUGCACAGCGCUGCCGUUUGCACGAGGCCGUUUGCACGAGGCUGCUGUUAGCACAGGGCCGUUUGCACGAGGCUGCCGUUUGCACGAGGCCGUUUGCACGCCGCCCCACGUCCCCAUGCCCGGAGUGGGGCCGCAGCCAAGCUCCCUUCCUGUUGACGUCCCGCUGUCAGCGCGGCUCAAGGACUUCCCGGCACGGAACAUCGCGGCCCCGCCGGCGUCCACCCCACCCCACAGCCCAUACAGGGGUCAUGGCCCCACGCAGCCCUAUAACCACAUCCUAUAUCCUAUAG
rnacentral:lncRNA from 1 species